rnacentral:rRNA from 1 species
AAGGAUCAUUAUUGAAUUCAUAUAUGCGAAGGAGUUG